rnacentral:rRNA from 1 species
UAAUGUAUGGGGAUCUGCCCGAUAGAGGGGGAUAACUACUGGAAACGGUGGCUAAUACCGCAUAAUGUCUACGGACCAAAGCAGGGGCUCUUCGGACCUUGCACUAUCGGAUGAACCCAUAUUGGAUUAGCUAGUAGGUGGGGUAAAGGCUCACCUAGGCGACGAUCUCUAGCUGGUCUGAGAGGAUGAUCAGCCACACUGGGACUGAGACACGGCCCAG